rnacentral:rRNA from 1 species
GUUACACUUGCUAAUAGACAUAUGAAGGUUUCGCCCACUUGCCCCACUUGCUCAGAGGGCUUAGAAGAUACAAAACAUAUAUUUUUUCGUUGUAGGAAAGCAAAGGAGGUUUGGAAAAGAUUAGGGAUAAUUGAUAUUAUCGAUAAAGCGUGCGAGGUAGACCAUGCUGGAGAGGCGGUGUUGGAGUACUUACUACUUCUCCCGAACCAAGAAUUGAGGAUGAUAGGUCACCACAAUAUGCGUGAGAUGAUUGCUGUCUCAACAUGGUAUUUAUGGUGGGAAAGACGGAAGUUAGUACAUAAGGAGACAACCCAAAAUGCCUUGUAG